GGAUAGCUCUGUUGGUAGAGCAUGAGACUCUUAAUCAAAGGGUCAUGGGUAUGAGCCCCAUGUGAGGCG